rnacentral:rRNA from 1 species
AACUAACGCUGGCGGCGCGUCUUAAACAUGCAAGUCAAACGGGUGUAGCAAUACACCAGUGGCGAACGGGUGAGUAACACGUAGAUAAUCUACCAUCGAGUUGGGGAUAACCUGUCGAAAGGCAGGCUAAUACCGAAUGGUAUCAUGCUAGCGAGAGCUGAUAUGAUUAAAGGAGCGAUUCGCUCGGUGAUGAGUCUGCGUCUGAUUAGCUAGUUGGUGAGGUAAUGGCUCACCAAGGCGACGAUCAGUA